UCUGGGCGCAGUGGCGUGCGCCUGUAGUCCCAGCUACUUAGAAGGCUGAGGCACAAGGAGCGCUUGAGUCCAGGAGCUUUGGGCUGUUAUGCAAUAUGCUGAUCAUGUGUCUGCACUAAGUUCAGCAUCAAUAUGGUGACCUCCAGGGAGCGGGGGACCACCAGGUUGCCUAAGGAGGGGUGAACUGGCCCAGGUCGGAAACAGAGCAGCUCAAAACUCCAGUGUUGAUCAGUAGUGGGAUUGCGCCUGUGAACAGCCACUGCACUCCAGCCUGGGCAACACAGUGAGACUCCCGUCUCU
rnacentral:SRP_RNA from 1 species